AUGAGACAUCAGAACAAUUCCUACAGUCUGCACCACCCUUUAAUCACUUACACCAACCCUCCGACCCUCAGAACUCAAAAACGACUCCUGCAGAAACUUCCUUUUCCCACCUGCAUCUCCACACAGCAACACGCUGGCUCGGGUCUAACGGUCGGGGUGACGUCAGGGGAGAAAAGCGACUGGAAGCUUCUGAGAGGAACACAGCCAACGGGAGGAACACACAACUACCGACUCCAGAACACUGAACUAUGGAUGGAGGCGCCAGCUUUACGCCGCGGCCUCGGGAACAGCGACUCCCUCUACUGCUGCCGUACCAGCACGCUCCGCAGUCUGGGUCUCAGCCGGCGUCUCCAUGGCGACGGCUUCACCAGGGACGGCGGUGGAUUCAGGACCUGCUUCUGCAGCUACAGGUGGAGCCGGUUCCUCUGCAGCAGCAGCAGCAGCAGCAGCAGCAGCUUCCCCACAGGCCUCGUUGGCGGCUUCUUCAGACACGACCUCAACAGCCGCUUCAGGUUCAGCUCUCGUCUCCUCGGACUCCCCGAUGACCUCUGUGACCUCUGCCUCUCCUGCAGGAGCAGAGACGGACUCCCCGAUGACCUCUGUGACCUCUGCCUCUCCUGCAGGAGCAGAGACGGACUCCCCGAUGACCUCUGUGACCUCUGCCUCUCCCGUAGGAGCAGAGACGGACUCCCCGAUGACCUCUGCCUCUCCCAUAGGAGCAGAGACGGACUCCCCGAUGACCUCUGCCUCUCCUGCAGGAGCAGAGACGGACUCCCCGAUGACCUUUGUGACCUCUGCCUCUCCUGCAGGAGCAGAGACGGACUCCCCGAUGACCUUUGUGACCUCUGCCUCUCCUGCAGGAGCAGAGACGGACUCCCCGAUGACCUUUGUGACCUCUGCCUCUCCUGCAGGAGCAGAGACGGACUCCCCGAUGACCUUUGUGACCUCUGCCUCUCCUGCAGGAGCAGAGACGGACUCCCUGAUGACCUCUGCCGCUGGAGCUGCUGCUGCAAACAAAGAUUGGAUGAAUACGUUAUUAUUGAUGGUAAUUAUAAUUUUGUAGUAACGGAGGCAACAGUCAAGAAGUUCUUCACAGUCAUUUUCAGAGCAGGAAUAUCAAUCACAGGAACUUCAUGA
rnacentral:lncRNA from 1 species